rnacentral:lncRNA from 1 species
UUGCCUUUGUCACAUGUUUAUGUCAUGACUGCUCACUGCUUCCUUCCCAUUCCAGCGAGGGAGUGGUGUGGUCUCUGAGGAAGUUCCACCAUGAGAGGCUUCUGAUAACUACCAGGCCAUCCUGGGCUCCACAGGCCACUGCAUACAUGGGUAAAACAGAUGUCAGGUGGUGUCCAGAGACCACAGGGUCCUGUCAAAGAUGGAGGCACAAGGAGGAAAUUCUCCCAUUAACUUCUCUUCCUCUGCCAUGGGAAAGCAGUCCCAGUUUGUGGUUCCCAGCCCCCUCCCCACCUUAGACAAAGCCAAAAGAGAAACAGUGACUACAUUUGCCCUCAGGGGAGGUGGGGCCUGAAGCUUUGAGAAUCCCUCACUCUUCCUGCCUGUGUGUCUAGGUCAGCCUUGCUUCACCCCAGGUCACCCCACCUGGUAGCCGGUGUCACAAUAAUGGCCUGGCCAUUGGUGGGGGCAGCAACAGCCCCGAUGGGAAGGGGCAGUCAGAAUACAGGGACGUCACAGCCUGCACACACAUCCUCCUGGAGACAGGGGGGCCUUGGGGCUGUUUCUGAAGUUGGCAACCGUGUCCUGCACCUGGAAGGAGGGUGGGGGAGCCACAGGCAGGGAACAGAAUAUGCAUUCUCAGAAAAGGUGAGCAGAUAAAGCCAAAGUCAGGCCCAACUUUGCAGAGUGACAUGAUGGAGAUUCACUGGGCUGAAAGUUAAUUUAGAGGUAAGCUAUUUAUCACGAGUUUUUUUUUUCUCCCACGUUUUUAGUUUCCCAAAUGUCUAUACUUUUUAGCACAGCCAGCAGCAAGUGGCAGGCAAUGAUUCUUCAGGGUCCACUGAGGCCACAGGAAUGAGAAGCCCUCUUGUCCCCCCAGGUGACAGCUCCGGUGCUCCUCGCCUGCUGGCAGCAGCCCUGUCUCCUAGUGGAUGGGUGGGCCUCUGUUGCACACAGUGAGACGAGAGGUCCUUAAGUCCGGGGCAAUGGGACCAGCCCUCUUACCUCAGGCGGCUGCCACGAGGCCCUGCAACCCCACGCCCUUCACAGGCUGAGGGAAAGCAGCCAGAGAAGCUCCAGGAGUGUGGCAGUGAACCUAUGAUGCUGGGAGAACCAGGGCCAACCUCAGGGACCAGGAUGUGCAGUCCCAUGGCCUGUGGGAGCCCACGCCUCUGGAUGGCUCAGGGGGUGCUCAUGACGUGGGUGCGACCCUCCAAAUUCCAGGCCUUGAAACUCUAACGGCCAACA